rnacentral:rRNA from 1 species
AUUGAACGCUGGCGGCAGGCCUAACACAUGCAAGUCGAGCGGCAGCGGAAAGUAGCUUGCUACUUUGCCGGCGAGCGGCGGACGGGUGAGUAAUGUCUGGGAAACUGCCUGAUGGAGGGGGAUAACUACUGGAAACGGUAGCUAAUACCGCAUAACGUCGCAAGACCAAAGAGGGGGACCUUCGGGCCUCUUGCCAUCAGAUGUGCCCAGAUGGGAUUAGCUAGUAGGUGGGGUAACGGCUCACCUAGGCGACGAUCCCUAGCUGGUCUGAGAGGAGGACCAGGCAAACUGGAACUGAGACACGGUCCAGACUCCUACGGGAGGCAGCAGUGGGGAAUAUUGCACAAUGGGCGCAAGCCUGAUGCAGCCAUGCCGCGUGUAUGAAGAAGGCCUUCGGGUUGUAAAGUACUUUCAGCGGGGAGGAAGGUGCUGAGGUUAAUAACCUCAGCAAUUGACGUUACCCGCAGAAGAAGCACCGGCUAACUCCGUGCCAGCAGCCGCGGUAAUAC